rnacentral:rRNA from 1 species
CGCUGGCGGCAGGCCUAACACAUGCAAGUCGAACGGUAACAGGAAACAGCUUGCUGUUUCGCUGACGAGUGGCGGACGGGUGAGUAAUGUCUGGGAAACUGCCUGAUGGAGGGGGAUAACUACUGGAAACGGUAGCUAAUACCGCAUAACGUCGCAAGACCAAAGAGGGGGACCCUCGGGCCUCUUGCCAUCGGAUGUGCCCAGAUGGGAUUAGCUUGUUGGUGGGGUAACGGCUCACCAAGGCGACGAUCCCUAGCUGGUCUGAGAGGAUGACCAGCCACACUGGAACUGAGACACGGUCCAGACUCCUACGGGAGGCAGCAGUGGGGAAUAUUGCACAAUGGGCGCAAGCCUGAUGCAGCCAUGCCGCGUGUAUGAAGAAGGCCUUCGGGUUGUAAAGUACUUUCAGCGGGGAGGAAGGGAGUAAAGUUAAUACCUUUGCUCAUUGACGUUACCCGCAGAAGAAGCACCGGCUAACUCCGU